rnacentral:rRNA from 1 species
CAGCCGCCGCGGUAAUACGAAGGGUGCAAGCGUUAAUCGGAAUUACUGGGCGUAAAGCGUGCGUAGGCGGUUUGUUAAGUCUGUUGUGAAAUCCCCGGGCUCAACCUGGGAAUGGCAAUGGAUACUGGCAAGCUAGAGUGUGACAGAGGGGGGUGGAAUUCCGCGUGUAGCAGUGAAAUGCGUAGAUAUGCGGAGGAACACCGAUGGCGAAGGCAGCCCCCUGGGCCAACACUGACGCUCAUGCACGAAAGCGUGGGGAGCAAACAGGAUUAGAUACCCGAGUAGUCCCUGUCUCUUAUAC